rnacentral:rRNA from 1 species
AUUGAACGCUGGCGGCAUGCUUUACACAUGCAAGUCGAACGGUAACAGGCCGCAAGGUGCUGACGAGUGGCGAACGGGUGAGUAAUGCAUCGGAACGUGCCCAGUCGUGGGGGAUAACUACUCGAAAGAGUAGCUAAUACCGCAUACGAUCUAUGGAUGAAAGCGGGGGACCGUAAGGCCUCGCGCGAUUGGAGCGGCCGAUGUCAGAUUAGGUAGUUGGUGGGGUAAAGGCUCACCAAGCCAACGAUCUGUAGCUGGUCUGAGAGGACGACCAGCCACACUGGGACUGAGACACGGCCCAGACUCCUACGGGAGGCAGCAGUGGGGAAUUUUGGACAAUGGGCGCAAGCCUGAUCCAGCAAUGCCGCGUGCAGGAAGAAGGCCUUCGGGUCGUAAACUGCUUUUGUACGGAACGAAACGGCUCUGGUUAAUACCCGGGGCUAAUGACGGUACCGUAAGAAUAAGCACCGGCUAACUACGUG